rnacentral:rRNA from 1 species
AUACGUAGGUGGCAAGCGUUAUCCGGAUUUACUGGGUGUAAAGGGCGCGCAGGCGGCCCUGAAAGUCAGAUGUGAAAGAUCAAGGCUUAACUUUGACAGGUCAUCUGAAACUUUGGGGCUUGAGUAUCAGAGGGGAAAGUGGAAUUCCUAGUGGAGCGGUAAAAUGCACAGAGAUUAGGAGGAACACCGGUGGCGAAGGCGACUUUCUGGCUGACAACUGACGCUGAGGCGCGAAAGCGUGGGGAGCAAACAGGAUUAGAUACCCUGGUAGUCCACGCCGUAAACGAUGAUUACUGGGUGUAGGGGGUAUCGACUCCCUCUGUGCCGAAGCAAACGCGAUAAGUAAUCCACCUGGGGAGUACGGCCGCAAGGCUAAAACUCAAAUGAAUUGACGGGG